GAUGAACGCUGGCGGCGUGCCUAAUACAUGCAAGUCGAGCGAACAGAUGAGGAGCUUGCUCCUCUGACGUUAGCGGCGGACGGGUGAGUAACACGUGGAUAACCUACCUAUAAGACUGGGAUAACUUCGGGAAACCGGAGCUAAUACCGGAUAAUAUAUUGAACCGCAUGGUUCAAUAGUGAAAGACGGUUUUGCUGUCACUUAUAGAUGGAUCCGCGCCGCAUUAGCUAGUCGGUAAGGUAACGGCUUACCAAGGCAACGAUGUGUAGCCGACCUGAGAGGGUGAUCGGCCACACUGGAACUGAGACACGGUCCAGACUCCUACGGGAGGCAGCAGUAGGGAAUCUUCCGCAAUGGGCGAAAGCCUGACGGAGCAACGCCGCGUGAGUGAUGAAGGUCUUCGGAUCGUAAAACUCUGUUAUUAGGGAAGAACAAAUGUGUAAGUAACUAUGCACGUCUUGACGGUACCUAAUCAGAAAGCCACGGCUAACUACGUG
rnacentral:rRNA from 1 species